ACGAACGCUGGCGGCGUGCCUAACAACAUGCAAGUCGAACGGUUGUUUUUAUUCUGUAGCAAAUACAGGAUAAAAGGCAAGUGGCGCACGGGUGAGUAAAACACGUGAGUAAUCCGCCUCCGAGAUUGGGACAACCUGCCGAAAGGCGGGCUAUACCGAAUUAAAGGCCACAGUACCUUCGGGUAUAGGGGUUAAUAAGUAAGACGGCGCAAGCUGUCACUUGGAGAUGAGCUCGCGGCCCAUCAGCUAGUUGGUAGGGUAAUGGCCUACCAAGGCCGAUAAACGGGUAGCUGGUCUGAGAGGACGACCAGUCACACUGGAACUGAAAGACACGGUCCAGACUCCUACGGGAGGCAGCAGUGGGGGAAUAUUGCGCAAUGGGGGGAAACCCUGACGCAGCAACGCCGCGUGGGGUGAUGAAGGCCUUCGGGUCGUAAAAGCCCUGUCAACAGGGAAGAAAACUCCGGGAUUCGAAUAGGGUCUUCGGAAUUGACGGUACCUGUGGAGGAAAGCACCGGCUAAACUCCGUGCCAGCAGCCGCGGUAUAAAACGGGAGGGGUGCAAGCGUUGUUCGGAAAUUACUGGGCGUAAAGCGCGUGGCCAGGUGGUUUUUUUUAAGUUUCGUGUGAAAUCCCAUGGCUUAACCAUGGAACGGCAACGGAAAACUGGAAGGCUUGAGGUACGGGAGAAGAGGGCGGAAUUCCCAGUGUAGAGGUGAAAUUCGUAGAUAUUGGGGAGGAACACCGGUGGCGAAAGCGGCCUCUCUAGGACCGAUACUGACGCUCAUACGCGAGAGCGUGGGUAGCAAACAGGAUUAGAUACCCUGGUAGUCCCACGCUGUGUAAACGAUGGAUGCUAGGUGUUCGGGGAGUUGACCCCCCCGGAAGUGCCGAAGUUCAACACAUUAAGGCAUCCCGCCUGGGGAAGUACGGUCCGCAAGACUAAAACUCAAAGGAAUUGACGGGGGCCCGCACAAGCGGUGGAGCAUGUGGUUUCAAUUCGACGCAAACGCGAAAGAAACCUUACCCUGGGCUUGACAUCUGGGGAACCCUCCUGAAAGGGGAGGGGGUGCCCGCAAGGGAGCCCCCAAGACAGGUGCUGCAUGGCUUGUCGUCAGCUCGUGUCGUGAGAUGGUUGGGUUUAAGUCCCCGCAACGAGCGCAAACCCCUGUCUCUAGUUUGCCAUCAUUCAGUUGGGCAACUCUAGAGAGACCGCCGGCGUUAAGGCCGGAGGAAGGUGGGGACGACGUCAAGUCCUCAUGGCCUUUAUGCCCAGGGCUACACACGUGCUACAAUGGAUACUACAAAAGGGUUUGCCAACCCGGCGAGGGGGAGCUAUCCCAGAAAAAGUAUUCUCAGUUCGGACUGGAGUCUGCAACUCGGACUCCACGAAGCCGGAAUCGCUAGUAAUCGCGGAUCAGAACGCCGGCGGUGAAUACGUUCCCGGGCCUUGUACACACCGCCCGUCACACCACGAAAGUGGGUUACACCAGAAGCCCGGUGCGCCAACCGCAAGGAGGCCCAGCCGUCCAAGGUUUGACUCAUGAUUGGGGUG
rnacentral:rRNA from 1 species